AAGACCUUACAAAACGCUGCUAAAAGUCAAUUUUGCUGCAGUGUUUAAAAUAUUUCUAGAAAGCAUUUGAUACACAGAAAAUCAUGAAGAUCUCACCUUAAACAUGAAAGAUGAACUGAAACAUCAGCUUUCAAUGUAGUUUAUAAAUAAUCAAAAGCUUUAAAACAGUAAAAAAAAGAGUCACCUCAGGAGAAAGUGAAACAAAAAAGAAAGGC
rnacentral:lncRNA from 1 species